GCCCUUAGAGUUUGAUCCUGGCUCAGGAUGAACGCUAGCGGCAGGCUUAACACAUGCAAGUCGAGGGGUAACAGGGAUUGCUUGCAAUCCGCUGACGACCGGCGCACGGGUGCGUAACGCGUAUGCAACCUACCUUCUACAGGGGGAUAGUCAAUAGAAAUGCUGAAUAAUACCCCAUACGAUCUUUGAAUAGCAUUAUUUAAAGAAGAAAGUUCCGGCGGUAGAAGAUGGGCAUGCGUCCUAUUAGUUAGUUGGAGAGGUAACGGCUCCCCAAGACAUCGAUAGGUAGGGGUCCUGAGAGGGAGACCCCCCACACUGGUACUGAGACACGGACCAGACUCCUACGGGAGGCAGCAGUGAGGAAUAUUGGACAAUGGAGGCAACUCUGAUCCAGCCAUGCCGCGUGCAGGAAGACUGCCCUAUGGGUUGUAAACUGCUUUUAUACAGGAAGAAAUGUACCUACGUGUAGGUAUUUGACGGUACUGUACGAAUAAGGAUCGGCUAACUCCGUGCCAGCAGCCGCGGUAAUAAGGGCG
rnacentral:rRNA from 1 species